CGGCCGCGGUAUCCUAACCGUGCGAAGGUAGCGUAAUCACUUGUUCUUUAAAUGUGGACUAGUAUGAAUGGCACUACGAGGGUUAUACUGUCUCCUUUUUUUAAUCAGUGAAACUAAUUUUCCCGUGAAGAAGCGGGAAUAUAACUAUAAGACGAGAAGACCCUAUGGAGCUUUAAACAACCUAGCAAUUACUUCUAAAAUUAUAAAUUUCAGAAUACUUAUUUUUUAAGCAAUAUGUCUGCAAGUUUUUGGUUGGGGUGACCAUGGAGAAUAACACAACCUCCAUAUUGAAUGAAUUUUUAUUCUAAGCUAAAAAUUACUAAUUGAAGCAUCAACACACUGACAUCUAUUGACCCA
rnacentral:rRNA from 1 species